UACGUAGGAUGCAAGCGUUGUCCGGAAUUAUUGGGCGUAAAGAGCGCGCAGGCGGUCUCUCAAGUCAGAUGUGAAAUAUCCUGGCUUAACCGGGAGGGGUCAUUUGAAACUGGUAGACUAGAGUACAGCAGAGGAUAGCGGAAUUCCCGGUGUAGUGGUGAAAUGCGUAGAUAUCGGGAGGAACACCAGUGGCGAAGGCGGCUAUCUGGGCUGAAACUGACGCUGAGGCGCGAAGGCUAGGGGAGCAAACGGG
rnacentral:rRNA from 1 species